CCUACGGGAGGCAGCAGUGAGGAAUAUUGGUCAAUGGCCGGAAGGCUGAACCAGCCAUGCCGCGUGAAGGUCAGUGCCCUAUGGGCGUUAAACUUCUUUUGUGCGGGAGCAAUAAUGGUCACGUGUGGCCAGAAGACGGUACCUGUCGAAUAAGCCACGGCUAACUACGUGCCAGCAGCCGCGGUAAUAAGUAGGUGGCAAGCGUUGUCCGGAUUUUCUGGGUGUAAAGGGCGUGUAGCCGGGCUGACAAGUCAGAUGUGAAAGCCGGGGGGUCAACCCCCGACCUGCAUUUGAAACUGUUGGUCUUGAGUAGCGGAGAGGCAGGCGGAAUUCGUAGUGUAGCGGUGAAAUGCGUAGAUAUUAGGAAGAACACCAGUGGCGAAGGCGGCCUGCUGGACGACAACUGACGGUGAGGCGCGAAAGCGUGGGGAGCAAACAGGAUUAGAUACCCGUGUAGUC
rnacentral:rRNA from 1 species